ACUGCUCCCACGCCCUGGUUCUUCGUCUUCCGGCCACGUCUUCUUCACUUCUCCUUCUUCUUAGCACCACCACAUGCCCCGAUUUCCGUGCGUCGUCUUCUUCGAUGGUCUCUGUGGCGCGCACUUCAAACACUAUUACACCACUUCACCUCACGCACGGCCACUUCACUUAUCACACAUGCCCCUUCUCGGGAAAAGUUUAUUUUUUCAAACAAAAAAAGCUUUGUAGCUACGUCUUAGUCGCAAUCACCACUUGUCCGCACAAGACCACUGCACCGCACCAGUGAAUAUAGGUGAUAGAUGUCCUCAAUAAAUGUUCGCACACCCUCACACA
rnacentral:lncRNA from 1 species